rnacentral:rRNA from 2 species
GACGGAAGGUGCAAGCGUUGCUCGGAAUCACUGGGCGUAAAGGGUGCGUAGGCGGCUUCUUAAGUCUGGUGUGAAAGCCCAGGGCUCAGCUCUGGAAGUGCACUAGAAACUGGGAAGCUUGAGUACCGGAGGGGAGAGUGGAAUUCCUGGUGUAGCGGUGAAAUGCGUAGAUAUCAGGAGGAAUACCGGUGGCGAAAGCGACUCUCUGGACGGUUACUGACGCUGAGGCACGAAAGCGUGGGGAGCAAACAGG